rnacentral:rRNA from 1 species
UACGUAGGGUGCGAGCGUUGUCCGGAAUUAUUGGGCGUAAAGAGCUCGUAGGCGGCUUGUCGCGUCGACUGUGAAAACCCGCGGCUCAACUGCGGGCUUGCAGUCGAUACGGGCAGGCUAGAGUGAUGUAGGGGAGACUGGAAUUCCUGGUGUAGCGGUGAAAUGCGCAGAUAUCAGGAGGAACACCAAUGGCGAAGGCAGCUCGCUGGAACGGUACUGACGCUGAGGCGCGAAAGCGUGGGGAGCGAACAGG